AGAGUUUGAUCCUGGCUCAGGACGAACGCUGGCGGCGUGCUUAACACAUGCAAGUCGAGCGGUAAGGCCUUUCGAGGUACACGAGCGGCGAACAGGUGAGUAACACGUGGGUGAUCUGCCCUGCACUCUGGGAUAAGCUUGGGAAACUGGGUCUAAUACCGGAUAUGACUGCAUGCCGCAUGGUGUGUGGUGGAAAGAUUUAUCGGUGCAGGAUGGGCCCGCGGCCUAUCAGCUUGUUGGUGGGGUAAUGGCCUACCAAGGCGACGACGGGUAGCCGACCUGAGAGGGUGACCGGCCACACUGGGACUGAGGCACGGCCCAGACUCCUACGGGAGGCAGCAGUGGGGAAUAUUGCACAAUGGGCGGAAGCCUGAUGCAGCGACGCCGCGUGAGGGAUGAAGGCCUUCGGGUUGUAAACCUCUUUCAGCAGGGACGAAGCGUGAGUGACGGUACCUGCAGAAGAAGCACCGGCUAACUACGUGCCAGCAGCCGCGGUAAUACGUAGGGUGCGAGCGUUGUCCGGAAUUACUGAGCGUAAAGAGUUCGUAGGCGGUUUGUCGCGUCGUUUGUGAAAACCCGGGGCUCAACUUCGGGCUUGCAGGCGAUACGGGCAGACUUGAGUGUUUCAGGGGAGACUGGAAUUCCUGGUGUAGCGGUGAAAUGCGCAGAUAUCAGGAGGAACACCGGUGGCGAAUGCGAG
rnacentral:rRNA from 1 species